rnacentral:rRNA from 1 species
UACGAAGGGGGCUAGCGUUGCUCGGAAUCACUGGGCGUAAAGGGUGCGUAGGCGGGUCUUUUAAGUCAGGGGUGAAAUCCUGGGAGCUCAACUCCAGAACUGCCUUUGAUACUGAAGAUCUUGAGUUCGGGAGAGGUGAGUGGAACUGGCGAGUGUAGAGGUGAAAUUCGUAGAUAUUCGCAAGAACACCAGUGGCGAAGGCGGCUCACUGGCCCGAUACUGACGCUGAGGCACGAAAGCGUGGGGAGCAAACAGGG